GGGGUUAUAGCUCAGUUGGUAGAGCAUCACACUGGCAGUGUGAGGGUCUGCGGUUCGACUCCGCAUAACUCCA
rnacentral:tRNA from 1 species